GAAAAAUAUGCUUGCCUUCAUCUAUUUCUAUUUUAUUUUUAAUUUUAUUACGGCUGGAACACUGACCAUGAGAUUUACACUUGUAGCAAAUAUUAAGGUUGUUUUUUUUGUUGUUGUUCAUUUUCUAGUGCUGGGGGUUGAAUCUCAUGCCAGGCCGGUGCUCUGCCACUAUUUCUCUAUGACUUUUGUGAAAUGGAUGAUGUUUUGUGAACAAGUAGCCUACGGGACUCCUUUCUAGGAAACAAGACGCAGACCCGUAGGUGAGCAGGAUACAGCAACUCGGCUUCACACCCACCGCCCUCCUCUUUGGGGUUCUUCCAAGGAUGUUCUGCCUCAACUCAAGCCCCAAGGGAAUGGAGCCAGCUAUCUAUGGACUAAGACCUCUGAAAUGGUGAGCCUCCCAAAUAAACUUUUCCUCCCUUAGAAUUGUGUUUGUCAGGUCUUUUAGUCAUGCACUCUGAGAAAUGGCCCCUGGCAUCACUUAGGGAUGCGACUGAACUGCCUGGGCUUGGGUGGAACGAGCCAAGGCAGCAUCUAGCAUUUCUAGUCCAGUGAAUU